rnacentral:rRNA from 1 species
GACGAACGCUGGCGGCGUGCUUAACACAUGCAAGUCGAACGGAAAGGCCGGGCUUUCUUUCUCCUCGAGUGGCGAACGGGUGUGUGACACGUGUGUUUUCUGUGCUCAACAUUGGGGUAAGCCUAGUGAACUGGGUCUAAUACACCGUAUAAUAGACUGUGUCGCGUGGGUUGUUGGAAAGCUUUUGCGUUUCAGGAUGAGCACGCGGCCUAUCAGCGUGUUGGUGGGGUGAUGGCGUAACAGGGCGACGAGGGGUAGCCGACCUGAGAGGGUGACCGGCCACACUGUGACUGAGAAACGGCCCAGAGUGCUACGGGAGGAAGCAGUGGGGAAUAUUGCACAAAGGGCGGAAGCCUGAUGCAGCGACUCCGGGUGGUGGAGGACGGCCGUCGGGGUGGAAACAUCUUUAGCCAGGGAAGAACAGUCAGUGACGGUACCUGAAGAAGAAGCACCGGCUAACUACGUG